rnacentral:rRNA from 1 species
UACGGGGGGUGCAAGCGUUGUUCGGAAUUAUUGGGCGUAAAGAGCGUGUAGGCGGUUUGUUAAGUCUGUCGUGAAAGCCCUGGGCUCAACCCAGGAAGUGCACUGGAUACUGGCAGACUUGAAUACGGGAGAGGGUAGUGGAAUUCCUAGUGUAGGAGUGAAAUCCGUAGAUAUUAGGAGGAACACCGGUGGCGAAGGCGGCUACCUGGACCGAUAUUGACGCUGAGACGCGAAAGCGUGGGUAG